rnacentral:rRNA from 1 species
CUCGUAGGCGGCUUGUCGCGUCGGCUGUGAAAGCCCACGGCUUAACUGUGGGUUUGCAGUCGAUACGGGCAGGCUGGAGUUCGGUAGGGGAGACUGGAAUUCCUGGUGUAGCGGUGAAAUGCGCAGAUAUCAGGAGGAACACCGGUGGCGAAGGCGGGUCUCUGGGCCGAUACUGACGCUGAGGAGCGAAAGCGUGGGGAGCGAACA